CAUUUAAGGGUCGCCAAAUAAUUUAUUUUCAUUGAAUUUCAAAUUUCAAAUAUUAAACUUUAAAUUUUAAAUUUAAAUUCAGAUUGAAAAAUUAAAAAUGUAAAUUUAGAUUUAAAACUUCAAAUUUUAAAAUUUAAAAUUUAAAAUUAUUUUUUGUACAAAUUUGAAAAUUAAAAAUUAUACUUUCAAUUCAAAUUUAAUUUUUAAUUUAAAUUCAAAUUUUAAAUUAUUUUAAAAUAAAAUUUAGUAAAAAAAUUAAUAUAUGUAAAUAUUAAAAAAAUUUUGUCAAACAGCUUUAAAAAAUUAUUUCAGAAAAAUCAUUUUUAUCUAAACUCAGCCAAACGCUCUAUAGUUUUUAAUCAAAAUCAAUUCUCGAAACUAAAAUUACUUCUGCAAAAAUUACUUUUCUAGAAGCUAGGCCAAACAGGUCCUCUAUUUCCGUGUAUGGAUCAAAUUGCUGUGAAUUUAGUGACGCAUGGAUUGGUUGAGUU
rnacentral:lncRNA from 1 species